rnacentral:rRNA from 1 species
ACGAAGGGUGCAAGCGUUACUCGGAAUUACUGGGCGUAAAGCGUGCGUAGGUGGUUGUUUAAGUCUGUCGUGAAAGCCCUGGGCUCAACCUGGGAAUUGCGAUGGAUACUGGGCGACUAGAGUGUGGUAGAGGAUAGUGGAAUUUCCGGUGUAGCAGUGAAAUGCGUAGAGAUCGGAAGGAACAUCUGUGGCGAAGGCGACUAUCUGGGCCAACACUGACACUGAGGCACGAAAGCGUGGGGAGCAAACAG